rnacentral:ribozyme from 13 species
CAACAAAGAAGCAAAAGUAUGAAACGCAGAUCAAGAAAGAGGUCCCAUUUUUGCAAGAAUUUGCUUCUCUAGGGAUCUCUUCUCUUCUUUAUGGUCCCUUGUUUUU